CUGUUCACUCGUCGAGCAAGCAGUGCCCACUCAACCCACUCUCAAGAUGUUCAAGCUGUUCCUGCUCGCCGCCAUCCUGGCCUUCGCCGCCGCCAACCCCGCCCCGGCUCCGGCCCCGGCACCCGAGCCCAAGCCCGGUGCGAUCCUCGCGGCGCCCUACAGCAGCUACAUCGCUCCCCUCGCCUACAACGGCUACGCCGCCCCGGCGCUGACCUACAACUCCUACGGCUACCUGCCGACCUACUACAGGUCCGGAUACCUCUACUAAGUCGUCGCGGCUGCUGCUACGUCGUCUCCUCCGGAAGGGCCGUCGUCCGCAGCCACAAGACGGCGCGACAACAUCUCGACACGCAACGAACGCCGUCGGCUGCGAGAAGGAACAACCGAUGAAGCGGAGCUGAGGAGGAGGCGGCGACUCGACACUCCGGGAAUUUCAUCUGGAAAAGCACGCAUCACCACGCGAUAACUCUCACCACACACACACACACACAUACACACACCCCGUCCUUCCGCCGAACCCGUCCAUCACCCGAACCCCCUCAGUAACGUCCUCCAUCUCAGCAUCAACCUCCCAGCAGUAUCUCAACCGAACCGAAAGACCGAAGCAUCACUCCCCACGUCUCAUCUCGUUUCGUUCAUGUCUCGGUAUCACCGAAUCGGCCGAUCUACUCGAAUCGCCGAGCGACUCUUCACUCUUGUAAUGGGAGUCGCUAUGGUCGAGUCUUGUGGACUUGUCGAUCUACAAUAAAAUUGCUUAAAGGCUAAUUCUUUUCAUCGCAA